AGGCACCCCCAGGGCAAAGCCACCCCUCCUGCCACCCUCCAGGGGGACAACCCACAACGCUGACCCUCUGUGGAAGCACAGCACCAGGAGUGUUCUGUGCUGCCUUGUCCUCACAACGGAGAGGGGUGUGGAACCUUCUGGAACAUGCUGCCCAGUGAGGAGCCUCUCACCCAAACAGGGCCACUUGCCUCAAGUUUACAGUGAGCUACUCAGAGAACCACAGCACACUCUCCACGGUUAAUGUUGGUUGGGGCUGCCUCCCUCUCUUGGAGGGUCCCUGAUGGGAAGUACUCACCAUCAUGGAUUGAGGGCUUCAACAAGAAAACAAAACAGCUGCAGGAUCCACGGCACAGAAUCAAGCCCUCCUUGCUCAAGCCCAACACCAGGACAGCAAUAUCUAUGAGAAGCUGGCCUAGACAAGUAACCAGGCAGAAGCUCCAGGUUCUUGUUUCCUCCUGCCUUGUACAACUGCUGCAAUGUGUUUUAAGAAACCUGGCUCAGGGAUCUGACUGCCAACAGGGAGACCUGAUGGGCAAGGCAAGAAGCAAGAUCCUGCCACUGUGGGAGGCAGAGGAAGGUGGA